rnacentral:tRNA from 1 species
GCUUCUAAAGGAUAACAGCUCAUCCAUUGGUCUUAGGAACCAGAAACUCUUGGUGCAAAUCCAAGUAGCAGCU